UGUACACACCGCCGGUCGCUAUCCCCGAUUGAAUGGCUCAGUGAGGCUUUCGGACUGGCCCAGAGAGGUGGGCAACUACCACUCAGGGCCGGAAAGUUAUCCAAACUCGGUCAUUUAGAGGAAGUAAAAGUCGUAACAAGGUCUCCGUUGGUGAACCAGCGGAGGGAUCAUUA
rnacentral:rRNA from 1 species